rnacentral:tmRNA from 1 species
GGUCUUUUCAUAUCGGCAAAGAACACUUAUAUUUCACAUGUUCGCCAUGCGCGGACUAUGGUAAUAAACGAUCGUCGCAAUAAACCAUUCGGACCCGGGGGCGGUACCCGGCGCCUCCACCCGAACCCGUCGGUAUUCCGGCGGGUUCCGGUGGGGGCGAAACAGGAUCGACGAGGGCGUAAAGGAUGUGUCUUUUACCCGGCAUGGUACCGCCGUUAUCGGGCCAAACAAGUAGUUGCGAAUGACAACUAUGCACCGGUGAGAGUGGCUGCGUAAGCGGUUCCUUUAGCCGAACCUGAGUCCCGGCGGGUUUGCUCCGUCGGGCGGGGCCCGGAGGCGCCCGGCAACAGAAGCCUCCACC